GAUGAACGCUGGCGGCGUGCCUAAUACAUGCAAGUCGAGCGAACAGACGAGGAGCUUGCUCCUCUGACGUUAGCGGCGGACGGGUGAGUAACACGUGGAUAACCUACCUAUAAGACUGGGAUAACUUCGGGAAACCGGAGCAAAUCCCGGAUAAUAUAUUGAACCGCAUGGUUCAAUAGUGAAAGACGGUUUUGCUGUCACUUAUAGUUGAUUCCGCGCCGCAUUAGCUAGUUGGUAAGGUAACGGCUUACCAAGGCAACGAUGCGUAGCCGACCUGAGAGGGUGAUCGGCCACACUGGAACUGAGACACGGUCCAGACUCCUACGGGAGGCAGCAGUAGGGAAUCUUCCGCAAUGGGCGAAAGCCUGACGGAGCAACGCCGCGUGAGUGAUGAAGGUCUUCGGAUCGUAAAACUCUGUUAUUAGGGAAGAACAAAUGUGUAAGUAACUAUGCACGUCUUGACGGUACCUAAUCAGAAAGCCACGGCUAACUACGUG
rnacentral:rRNA from 1 species